GCAGUCGAGCGGUAACAUGCCUUCGGGUGAAGUAGAGCGGCGGACGGGUGAGUAACGCGUGGGAAUCUACCUAGUAGUGGGGGACAACAGUUGGAAACGACUGCUAAUACCGCAUAAGUCCUAAGGGAGAAGGGGAAAGGGGGCUUCGGCUCUCGCUAUUAGAUGUGCCUGCGUAAGAUUAGCUUGUUGGUGAGGUAAUGGCUCACCAAGGCGACGAUCUUUAGCUGGUCUGAGAGGAUGAUCAGCCACAUUGGAACUGAGACACGGUCCAGACUCCUACGGGAGGCAGCAGUGGGGAAUAUUGCACAAUGGGCGCAAGCCUGAUGCAGCCAUACCGCGUGUGUGAAGAAGGCUUUCGGGUUGUAAAGCACUUUCAGUGGGGAGCAAGGCGUUGUCAUUAAUACCGGCAACGAUUGACGUUACCCGCAGAAGAAGCACCGGCUAACUCCGUGCCAGCAGCCGCGGUAAUACGGAGGGUGCAAGCGUUAAUCGGAAUUACUGGGCGUAAAGCGCGCGUAGGCGGCUUGUUAAGUUAGAUGUGAAAGCCCCGGGCUUAACCUGGGAAUAGCAUUUAAAACUGGCAGGCUAGAGUCUUGGAGAGGGGAGUGGAAUUCCAGGUGUAGCGGUGAAAUGCGUAGAGAUCUGAAGGAAUACCAGUGGCGAAGGCGGCCCCCUGGAUUGAUACUGACACUGAGGUGCGAAAGCGUGGGUAGCAAACAGGAUUAGAUACCCUGGUAGUCCACGCCGUAAACGAUGUCUACUAGCCGUUGGAAUCCUUAGAGGUUUUAGUGGCGCAGCUAACGCAAUAAGUUGACCGCCUGGGGAGUACGGCCGCAAGGCUAAAACUCAAAUGAAUUGACGGGGGCCCGCACAAGCGGUGGAGCAUGUGGUUUAAUUCGAUGCAACGCGAAGAACCUUACCUGGUCUUGACAUCCUACGAACUUACUAGAGAUAGUUUGGUGCCUUCGGGAACGUAGUGACAGGUGCUGCAUGGCUGUCGUCAGCUCGUGUGGUGAAAUGUUGGGUUAAGUCCCGUAACGAGCGCAACCCUUAUCCUUAGUUGCCAUCAUUUAGUUGGGGACUCUAAGGAGACUGCCGGUGACAAACCGGAGGAAGGUGGGGACGACGUCAAGUCAUCAUGGCCCUUAUGGCUAGGGCUACACACGUGCUACAAUGGUCGGUACAGAGGGUUGCCAAGCCGCGAGGUGGAGCUAAUCCCAGAAAGCCGAUCUUAGUCCGGAUUGCAGUCUGCAACUCGACUGCAUGAAGUCGGAAUCGCUAGUAAUCGCGAAUCAGAACGUCGCGGUGAAUACGUUCCCGGGCCUUGUACACACCGCCCGUCACGCCAUGGGAGUGGGUUGCAAAAGAAGUGGGUAGACUAAC
rnacentral:rRNA from 1 species